AUCGCUGAUAACCGCGGCUGUUGUCAGGGGCAGUGGGCUCAGCCUUUAAAGCUCGGGGUUGUGGCCCGGGCGGCCCCGCCCACACCGCCUUCGCGCCCCGCGAUUGGCUGCACCGGCCUCUGGGCGGGGCCGCCGGGCUCCGUGACUCCCUGGCGCGUGACUCUGCUCAGUCCCGGCUCUGCUCACCAGGUAGGUGGGGUCGGGCGCCUUCUCGGUGGGCUCAGGUGAACUAAUGACCAAUGAAUGCGCUCGGCGAGUUAUUGAAAGAAAUGUCAGCAACACAUCCGUGUCUUUUUGCUCUAGAGUGUGAUAUAUAUGUUUUUACCACGAUAAAACAAACAAUUCUAGAGGGCUGAGAAAGAGUAAACUCUGUUCAUUCUUGUUUGAUUCAAAGCAAAGAUGAAUCCGGAUGGAAGUAUGCAGAGCCCGCGGGCAGGCGCCUUUCUUCGCAAUUUCAGGGUGGGAUGCAGCUGGGCUUUAGAAAAAUCUGGGCAGAAGGUCAAGUCAGUCUCCUAAACGUGAUCAGUUGUCAAGGCCCAAAUCCCGGGAGGAAAAUGGGACUGGACUGGGUGGGUGCCGACUGGUUGGCAUUUUGUGAUGCGUCUUUUCCUGUCUUCUCUAGUUCAGGGGUUCUCUUUCUUCACCAGCCUUUGUCAAAACCACCAGAAACGAGUUAUUUACAGGAGAUAAAAAAGGUUUAAUAAAAUGGAGAAAACCGUGUGAGAACGGUGGAAACUGCUAUUCUCCAUUCCGCAUUAUGGGUUAUUGUCUUCCUCCGUAUACAAAGGGUGCAUGUUUUGAGAUUUAAUUUAAGAAAUUUUCUUUAAUGACAUUUAAUGCCUGGAUUUAAGUUCCAGAGUUUGGGAAAAUGUUGUAGGUAGAGAAAAUAUAUACAAAAUUAAGGAUUUCAGAAACAAUGCGAAAACGUUCUAAAAGUUUGUCUUUUGUUUAUUACAUAAGAAACGUAGUCAGUGGCAGAAAAUACAUUUUAGGAAAAAAAAGCAUCAAUACCUUAUAACUGCUCACCAUUAAUCCUUUUCUAUGCAUACGUUGACUUUUGUUUUUUACAAAAAUGGAGUCAUAAUGUAUGUCCCUUUGUAAACUAUUUUUUUUUUUUACUUAAGGUUAAAUUGAUAUACCUUCUAGAAGCUCAAUCAGACCAAUAAAUAUUUUAAAAGUCUGUUUAUUGAAAAUUUCAUUUUAUGAUCUUUGAAGUAGAAAGUCCUUCUCAAACACUGCGAAAGGCUGAAGCUCUCAGGUGGUUACAAAGCAUAUUGUACUGAAAUGCCUACUUUUCAACAAUGGGUUCUUAGACAUGACUCCAUAAGCAGGAGCAACAAACGACAAAGUAGAUAAAUUGGAUUUUAUCAAGAAUAAAAACUUUUAUGCCACAGAGUAUUUUAUCAGUGAAGAGACAACGUAAAGAAAGGGAGAAAAUAUUUGCGAACCAUUUAAAUGAUAAGAUUUUAAUAUCCAGAAUAUGAGAAGCCUGGGUGGCAAAAGCAGUUUGCAAUCAACUGCUAACCUGAAGUUUGGUGAUUUGAACCCACCCAGCCACUCAAGAAGAACGGCCUGGCAAACUGCUUCCUUGAACCUUAAGACAACAACAGAAAAACUGUAUGGAGCAAUUCUGCUCUGUAAGACAUGGGGUCACCAUGAGUCAGGGGUUGACUUGAUGGCAGCUAACAACAACAAUAUCCAGAGUAUAUAAAGAAAUUCUACGAAUUAAUAACAGAACAUAAACUGGCCAAUCAAAAAUGAGCAAAGGACUUGAAUAGGCAUUUCACCAAAGAGGAUAUACAAAUGGCCAACAAGCACUUGAAAAGAUGCUCAACUUAUUAGUCAUUAGGGAGAUACAAAUCAAAACCACAAUGAGAUAGUACUUCACCCCUACUAGGAUGACUUUAGAAGUCCCUGGGUGGCUCUGGACUACUUGUCAAGAGGUUGCCAGUUCAAACCCACUCAGAGGCACCUUGGAAGAAAAGCCUGGUGAUGUGCUUCCGGAAGGUCACAGCCUUGAAAACCUUAUGGGGCAGUUCUACUCUGCGUGCAUGGGAUUGCAACAAUUCGGAAUCUACUCAAAACGAAUGAACAGCAACAAAAGGAUGGCUAUGAUUUUACAACAAACAAGAUUUUAAAACAAACAAACGAAAACAGAAAACAACAGAUAGUAGCCAAGAUAUGGAGAAAUUGGAAUCCUUACUCGUUGCUGGUAGAAAUGCAAAAUGGUACAGCCUCUGUGAAAAACAGUUUGACAGUUUCUCACGAGAUAAAAUAUAGAAUUACUAUAAAAAACCAAAAACCUAACCCAUUGCUGUGAUUCAAUUCUGACUCAUAGUGACCCUACAGGACAGAGUAGAAUUGCCCCAUAGGGUUUCCAAGGAGCGACUGGUGGAUUCAAACUGCCAACCUUUUGGUUAGCAGCUGAGCUCUUAACCACUGUACCACCAGGGCUCCAGAAGUACUGUAUGAGCCAGCAAUUCCACUCCUAGGUCUACACCCAAAAGAACUGAAAGCAGGGACUCAAACAGUUACUUGUACGCCAAUGUUAAUGGCAUAAUAAUUAUUAUAAAAUGAUUGUUAUUUUUUAUUGUGGUAAAAAUAUAUAUAACAAAACAUUUGCCGUUUCAAUAUUUUUAAAAAAUGACUAAUUCAGUGACAUUAAUCAUAUUCAUCAUGUUGUACAACCAUUGCCACUAUCUGUUUUCAAAUUUUUCUAUCACUCUUAACAAAAACUCAGUGCCUCCUAGGCAAUGACUCCCCCCUUUCCUUCUCUUUCCUGUCCCUGGUAACUAUUAAUGAAAUCUGAUCUCUAUAUAUUUGCCUACUUUAAAUAUUUUACGUAAAUGGAAUCAUACAAUAUUUGUCCUUUUGUGACUGACUUACUUCACUCAGUAUAAUGUUUUCAGGGUUCAUCCAUGUGGUACCAUGUGUCAGGACUUCAUUUUUCUUUAUGGCAGAGUGAUACUCACUUCUCUGGUUAAAUUUAUUCCUAGGUAUUUUAUUCUUUUAAAUGCUAUUACAAAUAGAUUUAUUUCCUUAAUUUACAAUUACAUUGUUAGAAACCCAACUGAUUUUUGUGUGUUGAUCUUAUACCCUACUACUUUGCUGGAUUCAUUUAUUAGCUCUUGUUGUUUUCUUGUGGAAUUUUUGGGGUUUUCUAUAUAUAGGAUCAUGUCAUCUGAAAAAACAGUUUAUUUCUUCCUUCCCCAUUUGAAUACCUUUUAUUUGUUUUUCUUGCAUAAUUACGCUGGCUAGGACUUCCAGUACAAUAUUGAACAGCAGUGGUGACAGCGGGCAUCCUUGUCUUGUUUCCAGGGAUGGAUUACUCAAUAAACAAGGAUUUAUUACAAAACAAGCAUCGACACUGAAGUAUAAGCUGUUUGAAGCAAAAUUGGUGAAAGUCCAUUUUUCGUUGUGGAAGAUCAGCAGAACUUUACAUUAUUGUUGAAGCAACUAAGUUCACUGACUCAUUUUCUUUGUCGUAGACUACGUGGAAUAUUAUUUUUUUUUGGAAAAUGCGGUGUAUAGUAAAAAUCUUAGUACCCUGAACCCACUAAAAAUUUUGUAAGCCAGUUCAUCUCAUUCAACUAAAACUGCAUAUACCACUUUUGGGCUCAAUUGUUAAUAUAGUGGUAUUUAAAAAGAAAUUACAUCAUGGCUAGGUAAAACACACACAAUAUAUAUAUAUAUACUUCUAUGUAUAUAACUCACAUAUCUGGUUUGAAUGCAUGUGUAAGCAAAGGAGAGGGCACCACAGAUUCAGUGCUUAGGGCCUUCACAUGCCUUAAUCCAGCCUUGUUUGUCCCUGAUGUUAAGGGGAAAGCUCUCUGUCGUUUUCCAUUGAGUAUGAUAUUAGCUGUGGGUUUUCCACAAAUCCUCUUUAUCAUAUUGAGGAUUUCUCCACUUUUUCCUUGCUUGUUGAGUGUUUUUGUCAUGAAAGGGUGUUGAAUUUUAUCAAAUGCCUUUUUCUGCAUUGAUUGAGACGAUCAUGUGGCUCUUUUCCUUUAUCCUAUUAAUGUAUAAUAUGGUGUAUUACAUUGAUUGAUUUUCUAAUGUUGAACCACCCUUGCAUUCCUGGAACAAAUUCCACCUGACCAUAGUGUAUAAUCCUUUUAAUAUAUUUUUGGGUUUGGUUUGCUAGGACUUUGUCAAGGAUUUUUUUGCAUCUAUAUGUAUAAGGGAUAUUGGUCUGCAGAUUUUUUUUUUUUCUUGUAAUGUCUUUGCCUGGCUUUGGUAUCAAGGUAGUGCUAGCUUCAUGGAAUCAAUGUGGAAAUGUUCCCUUCUUUUCUUUUAGUGGGUAAGUUUAAGAAAGUUUAGAGUUAUUUCUAUAAACGGGAGAGUGAGGUUAUCUGGUCUAAGAAUUUUGUUUGUUGGAAGGUUUAUGAUUUCUGAUUCAGUCUCUUCACUUGUUAUGGGUCUAUUGAGAUCUUCUAUUUCUUCUUGAGUCAAUGUAGAGAGUUCAGUGUUUCUAGGAAUUUGUCCGUUUCAUCUAGAUGAUCUAAUUUGUUGGCACACAAUUGUUCAUAAUAUUCUCUUAUGAUCCUUUUUAUUUCUAUAAAGUCAGAUGUAAUGCCCCCACAAUCAUUUCAGAUUUUAGAAAUUUCCAUCUUUUUUUCUUUGUCAGUCUAGCUAAAUUGUUGUUGAUUUUAUUGAUCUUUCCAAAAAGCCGACUUCCGGUUUUAUCAAUUCUCAAUAUUGCUUUUGCAGUCUUCAUUUAUUUCUGUUCUGAUCUUUGUUAUUUCCUCCCUUCUGGUAGAUUUGAGCUUGGUUUGCUUUUCUAGUUCCUCAAGUUGUAAUUAGGUUAUUGAUUUGAGAUCUUUCUUCUUUUUUCACGUACACAUUUACAUUGCCCUCUGAGCAUUGCCUUCACUGCAUCCCAUAAAUUUUGGUAUUUUGUGCUUUCAUUUUCAUUCAUCUCUAAGUAUUUUCUGAUUUUUCUUUGAUUUCUUCCUUAACCCAUUGCUUGUUUAAUAGUGCAUUAUUUAAUUUCCACACGUUUGUAUAUUUUCCAGUUUCCCUUCUGUUAUGAACUUCUAGUUUUUAAAUGUAUUAAGUCUUUUUAAAUGUAGUAAGACUUGCUUUGUGACCUAGCAUGUGGUCUAUCUUGGAGAAUGAUCCAUGUGACUAGAGAAGAUUUAUACUGUGCUGCGGUUGGGUUGAAUGUUCUGUAUAUGUCUGUUAGAGUGUUAUAUAUGUCUGUGGGAGAAAUAUGGAGAAAUGCAGGGAGAAAACCAUUUAAGUGAGAGAGUGGAAGACAUUAUUGCUCCAAGUCAUAGAAAUAUCCAUCUAUAAUCUGUUAAAUAAUGCAUUACAGAAUGGUGGUAAUGCUUACCAUUUGGUUUCUUUAUCUACUCUUCUGUCUCUAUGUCUUUGCAAAAAAGUUGCUGAGUACUAAUUAUUAAAAUGUUCACAUUUUGGUCAAGUAACUAAACUUUAGCUCUGCCAUUGGUGAAUUAUAGCUGGCAGAACUUCCCAAUUUCUAUUUAAAGUACACCAUCUCUGAAAGUAUAUUUUUGGGUGCAUCUGCAUAGAUUUUUUUUUUUCUCUGUAGUAGAACAAAAUAUUAUUCUUUAGCAACUCUCUGGAAGUUUUAAACUGUAGGGGAACUAACAAAUUAGUGUGGUGGUAUAUAAGACAUUGAGGUCAUUUAAUACUCUUCCCAAUAUAAUAUAAAAAAAGCCAAACCCUUUGCCAUCGAGUCAAUUCUGACUCAUAGUGACCCUAUAGGACAGAAUAGAACUACUCCCAUAGAAUUUCCAAGGAACAGCUGGUGUGUUCAAACUGCCGACCUUUUGGUUAGCAGCCAAGCUCUUAUACACUGUGCCAUCAGGGCUCCCCCCAAUAUAAUAACUUCCUCCAAUUUGUUUAAAUUCACAGCCCAGAAUUACUCUUCAAAAACAUUAUCCAACGAACCAUCCAUUUGCAAAGUGGUUUAUUAGUAUUUAUAAUCAUAUUGAAAUAGCUUGUUGAUGAUUUCAUGUUCAUAUGAGACUACUUACUAAAUAACUUAAUUUUCUGGGUUACGGUACUCUUGCUUUUUCCCGUAGGGUUAAACAGUCAGGCAAUUCAUCAAGUAAAUCAAUUAAUCACCAUGAAUUAACUAAGCUCUUGGUUGGUGCUUAUUGUCCUCUGCUUGGUGUAGUUAAAGCAUUUACGCAGAAACUGUCUAAGCUAGGAAUAGAGGGGGCUUUCUCAACCUGAUAAAGGACGUCUAUGAGAAAACCCACAACUAACAUCAUACUUAAUGGUGAAAGACUGAAAGCUUUCCCCUAAGUUUAGGAACAAGACAAGGAUGUCUCUUCUUGCACUUCUGUUCAACAUCGUACUGGAGGUUGUAGUUAGCGUAAUUAGACAAGAAGAAGUAAUAAAAGGAAUUCAGAUUAGAAGGGAAAAAGUGAAACAUCUCCAUUGGCAGAUGACAUGAUUUUUUUUAUGUAUAAAGAACUCUGAAGAAUCUAAAACAAAACAAAACAAAACAAAACAAAACAAAACCCUACAACUGUUAGAGCUAAUGAACAAGUUUAGCAAAGUUGCAGGAUACAGCAUCAAUAUAGAAAAAUUAGUUGCAUUUUUAUACACUAGCAAGGGGCAGUUUAAAAAUGAAAUUAGGUAAAUAAUUCCAUUUAUAAUAGCAUCAAAAAUAAUAAAAUACUUAGGAAUGAAUUUAAUUAAAGACUUCUAAGAUUUGUAUGCUGAAAACUACCAAACAUUGCUGAAAAAAUUAAAGACAAUCUAAAUGAAUGGAAAGACAUCCCAUCUGCAUGGAUCUUAAAAAUAAUAUUUUUAAGGUGGCAGUGUUCCUCAAAUUGUUCUAAAGAUUCAAUGCAAUCCCUAUCAAAAUUCCAACUCCUUCUUUUUCAAAAAUAGAGAAGAUGAUCCUAAAAUUCAUACAGAAUUGUAAGGGGCCCAGAAUAGCCAAAACAAUCUUGAAAAGGAAGAACUAGAGUGGAGGAAUCAGCUACAGCAAUCAAGACAGUGUGGUCCUGGCAUAAGGGUAGACAUAUAGAUAAAUGGAAUAGAAUUGAGAGUCCAGAAAUAAACCCUUAUAUUUAUGGUCAAUUGAUUUUCAACAGAGUGCUAAGACAAUUCAAUGGGGGAAAGAAUAGUCUUUUCAACAAAUGGUGCAGGGACAACUGGAUAUCCUCGUGCAAAGAAAUGAAGUCGGACCCCUACUUCAUGUCAUAUAUAAAAAUUAACUCAGAAUGGACAAAAGAUUUAAGUGUGAGUGCUGAAACUAGAAAACUGUUAGAAGGAAAUGUAGGUGAAUAUCUGCAUAACUUUGGAUUAGGCAACUUUUUAAAGAUAUGACACCAAAAGCACAAACAAAGAAAAAAAAUAAAUAGGACUUUAUCAAAAGUAAAGUCUUUUGUGCUUCAAAUGACCCUAUUAAGAAAGUGAAAAGAAUCCCAUAGAAUGGGAGAAAAUAUUUGCAAAUCAUAUAUAAGGGACUAGUACCCAAAAUAUAUAAAGAACAUUUGCAACUCAACAAUGAAAAAACAAAUGAACCCAUUUAAAAAUGGGCAACGGACUUGAAUAGACAAUUCUCCAAAGAUAGAUGAUUGCGUAUAAGCACAUGAAAAGAGGCUCACCAUCAUAAGGGAAAUCCAGAUCAAAAGCACAAUGAGAUACCACAGUCUGACAGUUCCUUGAAAAGUUAACAUAGAAUUACCUAUGACCCAGUAAUCCCAAUCCUUACCCAAAAGAAUUGGCAAGUCCAUAGAGAAAGAACGUAGAUUAACAUGAGGUUUCUUUUUUAGGGUGAGGGAAAUAUUCUGGAGUUAGAUAGUGAUGACAUCUGCAUAACUUUAUGAAUAUCCUACAAACUAAAAAGUAUACUUUAAAAUGGGGAAUAUUGUGUGAAGCAUUGUCUUAGUUAUCUAGUGCUGCUAUAACAGAAAUACCACAAGUGGGUGGCUUUAGCAAACAGAAACUUAUUUUCUCACAGCCUAGGAGGCUAGAAGUCCAAAUUCAGAGCACUGACUCUAGGUGAAGGCUUUCUCUCUCUGUUGGUUCUGGAGGAACCAUGCAGCUUGGCAUCUAUCUUACCGCAUCUCUGCUGCUUAGUUUGCUUCUUUAAUCUCUUUUAUAUCUCAGAAGAGAUUGACUCAAAAUACACCCUACACUAAUCCUACCUCAUUAACAAAACAAAGACAACUAUUCCCAAAUGAGAUUAUAACCACAGGCGUAGAAGUUAGGAUUUACAACACAUAUUUUUGGGAGACACGAUUAUAUCCGUAACAAGUAUAUUUCAAUUAAAAAAUUUCAUGUAUAUUAAAAAAUAUGGCAUAAGUAAAAGUCAGUCUUUGUGUCGUUAUGGCAAAUGGUAAAGACAGAGAAGACCUUUCUGCUGUGAAGAGAUUCAGCUUCCACAUUUAUGUACUUUGGGGUUGUUCCUGAGGAAGGACAUCUUAGUGUAUGAUUGCUUCGUACUCUUGAAAUUAAAACAUUAUCAGAAAAGACUCCUACGAUUAUGGUGGUUUAGUAGCCCUAGAAUCGACUCGAUGACAGUGGGCUUGAAUAGCCCUGGUGUCUCAGUGGUUAAGAAUUCAGCUGCUGACCAAAAGGUGGGCAGUUUGAAUCCACAGCUGCCCCUUAGAAACCCUAUGGGGCAGAUCUGCUAUGUCCUAUAGGGUCACUACAAGUCAGAAUCGACCCAAUGGCAAUGGGUUUGGUUUGGAUUUUUUUAGUAGCUAAAUUCAGCAUCUGUCAGUGAUGGCUUGCAUGUUGCUGUGGUGCUGGAAGGUAUGCCAUAGGUAUUGCAAAUACCAGCAAGGUACCCAUGAUUGACAGGUCUCAGCUGAGCUUCCAGACUAAGACAGACUAGGAAGAAAGGCCUGGUGAUCUACUUCUGAAAAUCGACCAAUGAAAACCCUAUGGAUCACAAUAGAACAUUGUUCAGUAUAGUCCUGGAAGAUGAGCCUAGGUGGGAAGGCACUCAGAAUACACGGUGGCCACAAUAAUGGACUCAAACGCAUCCACAAUCUUGAAGAUGAUGCAGAACCGACCAAGUUUUCCUUCUGUUGUACCUGGGGUCACUAUGAGUUGGAGUUGACUCAGUGGUAAUUAUUAUGGGUUGAAUUAUGUCCCCCCCAAAAAUUGUGUUGUAAAUCCUGACCUCUGUGUUAUAAUCCCACUUGGGAGUGGGUUGUCUUUGUUAUAUUAAUGAGACAGGAUUAGUGUAGGGGGUACCUUGACUCAAUUUCUUUUGAAAUACAAAAGAGAUUAAACAAUUAAGGAGCAAGCAGAGAUGCGGGAAGAGAGCUGUCAAGCCAUAUAAUGAUCGACCAGAAGCAGAGGCACAAAGAGACAAGGACCUUCCUCCAGAGCCGACAGAGAGAGGGACCCUUCCUCUGGAGACAGCACCCUGAAUUCAGAAUUCUAGCCUUCUAAACUGUGAGAAAAUACAUUUCUGUUUGUUAAAGUCACCCACUUGUGGUAUUUCUGUUAUAGUAGCACUAGAUAACUGUGAUGGUUAGUUAAGGUUGUGUGUCAACUUGGCUGGGCCAUGAUUCUCAGUGUUUUGGCAGUUGUUUAAUAUAAUCACUUUCCUGUUGAAAUUUGAUGUGUGAUCACCCCCAUGAUGGAACCUGCGGAGUGGUACUGACAGGGGUGGGGCUUGUGGUGGCUCACCGCCCCCUCAGCCUUCAUCUCUCUGCCUCCUACUGCCUACUUCCUUCCUGCUCACCUUGCAAAUGUUGUUGACUUGUUCGGGAUCCAGCAGCUGUCUCUUGUCUGACCUCUGGUUCUUGGGACUUGAGCUAGCAGCUUACCUGUCCAUCUUGGGAUUCGCCAAUCUUCAUGGCCUGCGAGCAAAAAUCCUGCUCCCCGACCUGCCUAUCUUGGGUUCACCAGCUCCUGCAGCUAUGUGACUCAGAAGAAACCUUGCAGUCUUGCCUGCCGACCUUGGGGAGUCCUCGACUGUCACAACCUGUGAGCAGGAUCCCUGCUCUCCAACCUGCUCAUCUUGGGUUCACCAGCUUCUGUGGCUCUGUGAAUUGGGAAUGGACUCUAUCCUGAUCCAAAGACUUGGGACACUCCAACCCCUACAAUCGCGUGAGCUGUUGGCUUAAUAUAAAUCUUUCUAUAUAUAUUUAUACGCAUUACUGGUUUUGCUUCUCUAGAGAACCCAGCUUAAGACAAUAACUAACACAGUAACUAACAACAAUAGCUAAAUAUGACUCACAUGCCAGGUACUGUUCUGAGCAUUUUCUACAUGUUCCUUUGUUUAAUCUUCACAACAACCCCGCGACAGUGGCUUUCAAACUUGAGCAUGCAUCAGAAUCACCUGGAGUUGUGGAAACUCAGAUUGCUGCUCCCUGCCCCUCCCCCCUCAAAGUGUAUGAUUCCAGAGGUCUGGGGUGAGGUUUCAGAAUUUGCUUUUCUAACAGGCUCCCAAGUGAUGCUGUUGGUCCCAGGACCCCAUUUUGAGAACCACUGCUCUAGGAAAUGGGUGCUACUAUGUUACAACUGAGGAUGAAGUGUUAAGUUCCUCUGUAAAGUGAAGAAAUAACUUAAAUGCACGUCAGGCCAGCAGGGCUUAGAAAAGGAGGCUGAGCUCCGGGGACAUUGCCACAUCCCUCAGCCCAGCACCUCUCGCUGUAAUUCACAAACUCCACUCUGGUCCUGAGGUACCAGGUGUGGUAAGACAGGAGCACCGAGGCCACGGUGAGAAAAAGCACCAACACUCCCAGUGCCAGGCUCUCAGCUGGGACUGUGGGUUCUGCCUGCCCUGGAGUCAGGAUGCUGAAAGGAAGAAAAGACAGGGCCUCCCAGGCUUCCCUGAGAAAGAAGAAACUCCACCUCCAGACAGAUGCUUCAGCUCGUGCCUGAGGGUUCCAGCUACCCUUUUGAUGACCUGCCCUAUGCAUCUCAGACUUGCCUAGCCAGUCCUGAUGAUCCCAUAAGUCAGUUCCUUACACUGAACCUUCUCAUCUAUGUCUCCACUGGUUAGUUUCUCUGUUUGAAUCCUGACUGAGACAUUAGGGCCUCUACGAAUGCAAGGGGUUAUUAAUUUGGGAAGCAGUUGUAGAUUAAAGAAAUGUUCUGUGUGUUUCUAUGAUGCUCUCAAACCCCAUGAGCUAUAAGUCACUAUUAUGCUUUCAAAUUGUAUAUGUAUAAUUACUCAUUAUGUGAACUUAGAAAUAGGUCUACCAUUGUGAGGCUCUCUAAUGUUAAUUAUAGGUGUCAUUAGACACCUGGAAGUCAUAAGAAAGUUAUUUAGAAAAUUUCUGAACUUAGACAUCCAAACUUAGAAGCAUGUGAAGUAUGUGAGGAACAUAAACAACCUUAAAGUACACUUUGAUGUGGCAUGCUGUGACACAAGAAAACAUAGCAGAAAUCUAAACAACCUUCCUAAUCUCUAACCUUGAAGAAAAAAUGCAUCAUUCAGCUACUCCCGACCCUGCAGAACAGAUGUAAUAUCUUUGACAUCACACUGGCUCUUGUCCUGUGGCACCAAGGUGACAAAUUCUCGUAUAAACACUAAAUUUCCCCUGACUCACUGAAAGGAGGCAAAGAUGGAACUGAGAUUCUGUCCACCACCCCCAGCCUUGGACCCUAGCUAUGAGGCAGCCAUGGAGAAGCCUUCCUCCUGAGAUUCUCAUUAAAGGAAAAACCUGAAGUCUAAAGAUUUGGACUCUAACUGCUGAACUAACAUUGUAGUCUUAAUUGUCAAUUCUGAUUAUUUGGUUCUAAAUGAAAGGUCUUACUUGCGUGCCUUGCCAUGACUACCUUGCAAUAAAUGAAAUGAAUUUAUGCAUGACAAGCCUGAGUAUCUUUCAUUAAUUUUCUUAGAUUUCUAACGUCCUACACGACAUGAAAUAAACUCUAGAUUGUGGAAUGUUAGAUGACAAGGUGGCCUUAGACCUGAAGUUCUAU